rnacentral:rRNA from 1 species
UACGUAGGGUGCAAGCGUUAAUCGGAAUUACUGGGCGUAAAGCGCACGUAGGCGGCUUUGUAAGUUAGAGGUGAAAGCCCGGGGCUCAACUCCGGAAUUGCCUUUAAGACUGCAUCGCUCGAAUUGUGGAGAGGUAAGUGGAAUUCCGAGUGUAGAGGUGAAAUUCGUAGAUAUUCGGAAGAACACCAGUGGCGAAGGCGACUUACUGGACACAUAUUGACGCUGAGGUGCGAAAGCGUGGGGAGCAAACAGG